UCCCAUCUCGAACUCGGCCGUUAAGUGCGGUUGCGCUGAUGGUACUGCGUCUUAAGGCGUGGGAGAGUAAGUCAUCGCCAAAC
rnacentral:rRNA from 1 species